AGCAGGCGUAGUGAUCGUUGAAGUCUCUGUUGUUGUAGAUAUUUCUGCUGCACUGAUAGUAGAGGUUUCAGCAGGAAUUGUUGUGAUUGUGGAAGUCUCUGUUGUUGAAGUCAUUUCUGAUACAUUAGUGGUCGAUGUUCCAGCAGAAAUUGUUGUGAUUGUGGAAGUCUCUGUUGUUGUAGAUGUUUCAACUUUACUAGUGGUGGAUGUUUCAGCAGGUGUCGUUAUUCUGGAAGUCUGUGUGCUUGUAGAUGUUUCUGCUGCACUAGUUGUGGAUGUUUCAGCAGGAGUCGUCAUUGGAAUUAUUGUGAUCGUUGAAGUCUCUGUUGUUGUAGAUAUUUCUGCUGCACUGAUGGUGGAUGUUUCAGCUGGAAUUGUUGUGAUUGUGGAUCUCUCUGUUGUUGUAUAUGUUUUUACUACACUGAUAGUAGAGGUUUCAGCAGGAAUUGUUGUGAGUGUGGAAGUCUCUGUUGUUAAAGAAGUUUCCAUAGCACUAAUGGUAGAUGUUUCAGCAGGAAUUCUUGUGAUUGUGGAAGUCUCUGUUGUUGAAGUCAUUUCUGGUACAUCAGUGGUCGAUGUUCCAGCAGGAAUUGUUGUGAUUGUGGAAGUCUCUGUUGUUGUAGAUGUUUCUGCUGCACUAGUUUUGGAUGUUUCAGCAGGAGUAGUGAUUGUGGAAGUCUCUGUUGUUGAAGAUGUUUCUGCUGCACUAGUAGUGGAUGUUUCAGCUGGAAUUAUUGUGAUCGUUGAAGUCUCUGUUGUUGUAGAUAUUUCUGCUGCACUGAUGGUCGAUGUUCCAGCAGGAAUUGUUGUGAUUGUGGAAGUCUCUGUUGUUGUAGAUAUUUCUGCUGCACUAGUUGUGGAUGUUUCAGCAGGAGUAGUGAUUGUGGAAGUCUCUGUUGUUGUAGAUGUUUCUGCUGCAUUAGUGGUGGAUGUUUCAGCUGGAAUUAUUGUGAUCGUUGAAGUGUCUUUUGUUGUAGGUAAUUCUGCUGCAUUGAUGGUGGAUGUUUCAGCUGGAAUUGUUGUGAUUGUGGAACUCUCUGUUGUUGUAGAUGUUUCUACUGCACUAGUUGUGGAUGUUUCAGCAGGAGUCGUUAUUGUUGAAGUCUCUGUUGUUGUGGAUGUUUCUGCUGCAUUAGUGGUCGAUGAUUCAGUAGGAUCUGUAGUGAUUGUGGAAGUCUCUGUUGUUGUAGAUGUUUCUGCUGCACUAGUGGUGGAUGUUUCAGCAGGAAUUGUUGUGAUUGUGGAAGUCUCUGAUGUUGAAGAUGUUUCUGUUGCCCUAGUGAUGGAUGUUUCAGUGGGAAUUGUUGUGAUUGUGGAAGUCUCUGUUGUUGAAGAUAUUUCUGCUACACUAGUGGUGGAUGUUUCAGCAGGAGUCGUUAUUGUGGAAGUCUCUGUGGUUGCAGAUGUUUCUGCUGUACUAGUUCUGGAUGUUUCAGCAGGAGUCUUUAUUGUGGAAUUCCCUGUUGUAGAAGAUGUUUCUGCUACACUAACGGAGGAUGUUUCAGCAGGAGUCAUGAUUGUGGAUGUCUCUUUUGUAGUAGAUAUUUCUGCUUCACUAGGGGUGGAUAUUUCAGGUGUAGUUGAUUUGAUAGUUGAAGUCUCUGUUGUUGUAGAUGUUUCUGCUACACGGAUAGUGGAUGUUUCAGAAGGAAUUGUUGUGAUUGUGGAAGUCUCUGUUGUUGUAAAUGUUUCUGCAGCACUAGUAGUAGAUAUUUCAGCAGGAGUAGUGAUUAUGGAAGUCUCUGUUGUUGUAGAUGUUUCUGCUGCACUAGUGGUGGAUGUUUCAGCAGGAAUUGUUGUGAUGGUGGAUAUCUGUGUAGUAGAUGUUUCUUUUGCAAUGGUGGUGGGUGUUUCAGCAGGUAUUGUUGGGAUUGUGGAAGUCUCUGUUGUUAAAGAUGUUUCUGCUGCAUUAGAGGUGGAUGUUUCAGCAGGAAUAGUGAUUGUGAAACUCUCUGUUGUUGUAGAUGUUUCUGCAACACUAAAAGUGGAUAUUUCAGCUGCAGUUGUUGUGAGUGUUGAAGUCUCUGUUGUUGAAGAUAUUUCUACUACACUAAUAGUGGAUGUUUCAGCAGGAGUCGUGAUUGUGGAAGUCUCCAUUGUUGUAGAUGUUUCUGCUACACUGAUAGUAGAGGUUUCAGCAGGAAUUGUUGUGAUUGUGGAAGUCUCUGUUGUUGAAAAUAUUUCUGCUACACUAGUGGUGGGUGUUUCAGCAGGAGAAGAUGUGAAUGUAGCAGUCUCUGUUGUUAUAGAUGUUUCUGCUACACUAGGGGUGGGUUUUUCAGCAGGAAUCGUUAUUGUUGAAGACUCUUUUGUUGUAGAUAUUUCUGUUUCACUGAUAGUAGAUAUUUCAGCAGAAGUAGUGAUUGUGGAAGUCUUUGUUAUUGAUGAUGUUUCUGUUGCACUAGCGGGGGAUGUUUUAGCAGGAGUUGCUGUGAUUGUGGAUGUGUCUGUUGUUGUAGAUGUUUCUGCUGCACUAAUAGUGGAUGUUUCAGCAGGAAUUGUUGUGAUUGUGGAAGUCUCUGAUGUUGAAGAUGUUUCUGUUGCCCUAGUGAUGGAUGUUUCAGUGGGAAUUGUUGUGAUUGUGGAAGCCUCUGUUGUCGAAGAUUUUUCUGCUACACUUAUAGUCGAUGUUUCAGCCACCGUUGUUGUGAUUGUGGAAGUCUCUGUUGAUGUAGAUGUUUCUGCUUUACUAGUGGUGGAUGUUUCAGUGGGAGUCGUUAUUGUGGAAGUCUCUGUGGUUGCAGAUGUUUCUGCUGUACUAGUUCUGGAUGUUUCAGCAGGAGUCUUUAUUGUGGAAUUCCCUGUUGUAGAAGAUGUUUCUGCUACACUAACGGAGGAUGUUUCAGCAGGAGUCAUGAUUGUGGAUGUCUCUUUUGUAGUAGAUAUUUCUGCUUCACUAGGGGUGGAUAUUUCAGGUGUAGUUGAUUUGAUAGUUGAAGUCUCUGUUGUUGUAGAUGUUUCUGCUACACGGAUAGUGGAUAUUACAGCUGGAGUUGUUGUGCUUGUGGAAGUCUCUGUGGUUAAAGAUGUUUCUGCUGCACUAGUGGUGGAUGUUUCAGAAGGAAUUGUCGUGAUUGUGGAAGUCUCUUUUGUUGUAGAUAUUUCUGCUUCACUGAUAGUAGAUAUUUCAGCAGGAGUAGUGAUUAUGGAAGUCUCUGUUGUAGUAGAUUUUUCUGCUGCACUAGUAGUGGAUGUUUCAGCAGGAGUCGUUGUUGUGGAAGUCUCUGUUGUAGUAGAUGUUUCUGCUGCACUACUGGUGGAUGUUUCAGCAGGAGUAGUUAUUGUAGAAGUCUCUGUUGUUGUAAAUGUUUCUGCUGCAUUAGAGGUGGAUGUUUCAGCAAGAAUAGUGAUUGUGGAAAUCUCUGUUGUUGAAGAUAUUUCUGCUACACUAAUAGUGGAUGUUUCAGCAGGAGUCGUGAUUGUGAAAGUCUCCAUUGUUGUAGAUGUUACUGCUACACUAGUUGUGGAUGUUUUAGCAGGAGAAGGUGUGAUUGUAGUAGUCUCUGUUGUUAUAGAUGUUUCUGCUACACUAAUAGUGGAUGUUUCACCCGGAGGUGUUGUGAAUGUUGAAGUCUCUGUUGUUGAAAAUAUUUCUGCUACACUAGUGGUGGGUGUUUCAGCAGGAAUCAUUAUUGUUGAAGACUCUUUUGUUGUAGAUGUUUCUGUUUCACUGAUAGUAGAUAUUUCAGCAGAAGUAGUGAUUGUGGAAGUCUCUGUUGUUGUAGAUGUUUCUGUUGCACUAGUGGUGGAUGUUUCAGCAGGAGUCUUGAUUGUGGAAGUCUCUGUUGUUGUAGAUGUUUCUGUUACACUGAUAGUAAAGGUUUCAGCAGGAAUUGUUGUGAUUGUGGAAGUCUCUGUUGUUGUAGAUGUUUCUGUUGCACUAGUGCUGGAUGUUUCUUCAGCAGUCAUCAUUGUGGAAGUCCCUGUUCUUGUAGAUGUUUCUGCUGCACUAGUAGAGGAUGUUUCAGCAGGAAUUGUUGUGAUUGUGGAAGUCUCUGUUGAAGACGUUUCUGCAGCACUAGUGGUAGAUGUUUCAGCAGGAAUUUUUGUGAUUGUGGAAGUCUCUGUUGUUGAAGACGUUUCUGCAUCACUAGUGGUGGAUGUUUCAUCAGGAAUUGAUGUGAUGGUGAAUAUCUGUGUAGUAGAUUUUUCUGCUAUACUAGUAGUGGAUGUUUCAGCAGGAGUCGUUGUUGUGGAAGUCUCUGUUGUAGUAGAUGUUUCUGCUGCAUUACUGGUGGAUGUUUCAACAGGAAUUGUUGGGAUUCUGGAAGUCUCUGUUGUUGUAGAAGUUUCUGCUGCACUAGUAGUGGAUGUUUCAGCAGGAUUCAUGACUGUAGAAAUCUCUUUGGUAGUAGAUGUUUCUGCUCCACUAGUGGUGGAUGUUUCAGCAGGUAUUGUUGGGAUUGUGGAAGUCUCUGUUGUUAAAUAUGUGUCUGCUGCACUAGUGGUGUAUGUUUCAACAGGAAUUGUUGGAAUUCUGGAAGUCCCUGUUGUUGUAGAAGAUUCUGCUUCACUAGUGGUGGAUGUUUCAGCAGGAGUAGUGAUUGUGGAAGUGUCUGUUGUUGUAGAUGUUUCUGCUGCAUUAGUGGUGAAUGUUUCAGCAGGAGUCUUUAUUGUGGAAUUCUCUGUUGUAGAAGAUGUUUCUGUUCCACUAGUUGUGGGUGUUUCAGCAGGUAAUGUUGGGAUUGUGGAAGUCUCUGUUGUUGAAGAUAUUUCUGCUACACUAACGGAGGAUGUUUCAGCAGGAGUCAUGAUUGUGGAUGUCUCUUUUGUAGUAGAUAUUUCUGCUUCACUAGGGGUGGAUAUUUCAGGUGUAGUUGAUUUGAUAGUUGAAGUCUCUUUUGUUGUAGAUGUUUCUGCUUCACUGAUAGUAGAUAUUUCAGCAGGAGUAGUGAUUAUGGAAGUCUCUGUUGUUCUAGAUGUUUCUGCUGCACUAGUAGUGGAUGUUUCAGCUGGAAUUGUUGUGAUUGUGGAACUCUCUGUUGUUGUAGAUGUUUCUGUUACACUGAUAGUAAAGGUUUCAGCAGGAAUUGUUGUGAUUGUGUAAGUCUCUGUUGUUAAAGAUAUUUCUGCUGCAUUAGUGGUGGAUGUUUCAGCAGAAGUUGUUGUGAUUGUGGAAGUUUCUGUUGUUGAAGAUGUUUCUGCUGCACUAGUGGUGGAUGUUUCAGGAGGAGUCGUGGAUGUGGUAGUUUCCAUUGUUGUAGAUGUUUCUGCUACACUGAUAGUGGAUGUUUUAGCUGGAGUUGUUAUAAUUGUGGGAAUCUCUGUUGUUGAAAAUAUUUCUGCUACACUAGUGGUGGAUGUUUCAGCAGGAGAAGAUGUGAUUGUAGUAGUCUCUGUUGUUAUAGAUGUUUCUGCUACACUAAUAGUGGAUGUUUCAGCCGCAGGUGUUGUGAAUGUUGAAGUCUCUGUUGUUAAAGAUAUUUCUGCUGCACUAGUGGUGUAUGUUUCAACAGGAAUUGUUGGAAUUGUGGAAGUCCCUGUUGUUGUAGAAGUUUCUGCUGCACUAGUAGCGGAUGUUUCAGCAGGAUUCGUGACUGUGGAAGUUUCUUUGGUAGUUGAUGUUUCUGCUUCACUAGUGGUGGAUGUUUCAGUAGGAGUUGUAAUUGUGAAAGUCUCUGUUGUUGUAUAUGUUUCUGCUACACUUAAAGUGGAUGUUUCAGCAGAAGUUGUUGUGAGUGUGGAAGUCUCUGUUGUUGAAGAUAUUUCUGCUACACUAAUAGUGGAUUUUUCAGCAGGAGUCAUGAUUGUGAAAGUCUCCAUUGUUGUAGAUGUUUCUGCUACACUGAUGGUGGAUGUUUCAGCAGAAAUUAUUUUGAUUGUGGAAGUCUCUGUUGUUAUAGAUGUUUUUUCUGCACUAGUGGUGGAUGUUUCAGUAGGAGUCGUUAUAGUGGAAGUGUCUGUUGUUGUAGAUGUUUCUGUUGCACUAAUGGUGGGUGUUUCAGCAGGAGUUGUUAUUUUUGUGGAAGUCUCCCUCGUUGUAUAUGUUUCUGCAGUACUGGUGGUGGAUGUUUCAGGAGAAGUUGUUGUGAGUGUGGAAGUCUCUGUUGUUGAAGAUAUUUCUACUAAACUAGUGGUGGAUUUUUCAGUAGGAGUCGUUAUAGUGGAAGUGUCUGUUGUUGUAGAUGUUUCUGUUGCACUAAUUGUGGGUGUUUCAGCAGGAGUUGUUGUCAUUGUGGAAGUUUCUGUUGUUGAAUAUCUUUCGGCUGCAUUAGUGGUGGAUGUUUCAGCCGCAGUUGUUGUGAUUUUAAAAGUCUCUGUUGGUGAAGAUAUUUCUGCUACACUAGUGGUGGAUGUUUCAGCAGGAGUCGUGAAAGUGAAAGUCUCCUUUGUUGAAGAUGUUUCUGCUACACUGAUAGUGGAUGUUUCAGCUGGACUUGUCAUGACUGUGGAAGUCACUGUUGUUGAAAAUGAUCCUACUACAUUAGUGGUGGAUGUUUCAGAAGGAGUUGUUGUGAUUGUUGAUCUCUCUGUUGGUAUAGAUGUUUCUGCUUCACUUAUGAUGGAUAUUUUAGCUGUAGUUGUUGUGAUUGUGGAAGUCUCUUUUGUAGUAGAUGUUUCUGGUACACUGAUAGUGGAUGUUUCAGCAGGAAUUGUUGUGAUUGUGGAAGUCUCUGUUGUUGAAGAUAUUUCUACUAAACUAAUGGUGGAUGUUUCAGCAGGAGUCAUUAUUGUGGAAGUCUCUGUUGUUGCAGGUGUUUUUUCUGCACUAGUGGUGGAUGUUUCAGUAGGAAUCGUUAUAGUGGAAGUGUCUGUUGUUGUAGAUGUUUCUGUUGCACUAAUUGUGGGUGUUUCAGCAGGAGUUGUUGUCAUUGUGGAAGUUUCUGUUGUUGAAUAUCUUUCGCCUGCAUUAGUGGUGGAGGUUUCAGCCGCAGUUGUUGUGAUUUUAAAAGUCUCUGUUAGUGAAGAUAUUUCUGCUACACUAGUGGUGGAUGUUUCAGCAGGAGCUGUUGUGAUUGUGGAUCUCUCUGUUGGUGUAGAUGUUUCUGGUGCACUAGUGGUUGAUGUUUCAUCAGGAGUCAUGAUUGUGGAAGUCUCUGAUGUUGAAGAUGUUUCUAUUGCACUAGUGGUGGAUGCUUCAUCAGUAGUCAUGAUUGUGGAAAUCUCUGUUGUUAUAGAUGUUUCUGGUGCACUAGUGGUUGAUGUUUCAUCAGGAGUUGUGAUUGUGGAAGUCUCUGAUGUUGUAGAUGUUUCUGGUGCACUAGUGGUGGAUGUUUCAUCAGGAAUCAUGAUUGUGGAAAUCUCUGUUGUUAUAGAAGUUUCUGGUGCACUAGUGGUGGAUGUUUCAUCAGGAGUCAUGAUUGUGGACGUCUCUAAUGUUGUAGAUGUUUCUAUUGCACUAGUGGUGGAUGUUUCAUCAGGAGUAGUGAUUGUGGAAGUCUCUGUUGUUGUAGAUGUUUCUGCUAAACUAGUGGUGGAUGUUUCAUCAGGAGUCGUCAUUGUGGAAGUCUCUGUUGUUGUAGAUCUUUCUAUUGCACUAGUGGUGGAUGUUUUAUCUGGAGUCAUGAUUGUGGAAGUCUCUGUUGUUGUUGAUGGUUCUGCUGCACUAGUGGUGGAUGUUUCAUCAGGAGUUGUGAUUGUGGAAGUCUCUAUUGUUGUAAAUGUUUCUACUAAACUAGUGGUGGAUGUUUCAUCAGGAGUUGUGAUUGUGGAAGUCUCUAUUGUUGUAAAUGUUUCUACUAAACUAGUGGUGGAUGUAUCAUCAGGAGUUCUGAUUGUAGAAGUCUCUGUUGUUGUAGAUGUUUCCGCAGGAGUCAUGAUUUUGGAAGUCUCUGAUGUUGUAGAAAUUUCUAUUGCAAUAGUGGUGGAUGUUUCAGCAGGAGUUGUGAUUGUGUAAGUCUCUGUUGAUGUAGAUGUUUCUGAUAAAAUAGUGGUGGAUGCUUCAGCAGGAGUCAUGAUUGUUGAAGUCUCUGUUGUUGUACUAGUUUCUGCUAAACUAGUGGUAUAUGUUUCAUCAGGAGUUGUGAUUGUGGAAGUCUCUAUUGUUGUCAAUGUUUCUACUAAAUUAGUGGUGGACGUUUUAUCUGGAGUCAUGAUUGUGGAAGUCUCUGUUGUUGUUAAUGUUUCUGCUGCAAUAGUGGUGGAUGUUUCAGCAGGAGUCAUGAUUGUUGAAGUCUCUGUUGUUGUUGAUGGUUCUGCUGCACUAGUGGUGGAUGUUUCAUCAGGAGUUGUGAUUGUGGAAGUCUCUAUUGUUGUAAAUGUUUCUACUAAACUAGUGGUGGAUGUUUCAUCAGGAGUUGUGAUUGUGGAAGUCUCUAUUGUUGUAAAUGUUUCUACUAAACUAGUGGUGGAUGUUUCAUCAGGAGUUCUGAUUGUAGAAGUCUCUGUUGUUGUAGAUGUUUCCGCAGGAGUCAUGAUUUUGGAAGUCUCUGAUGUUGUAGAAAUUUCUAUUGCAAUAGUGGUGGAUGCUUCAUCAGUAGUCAUGAUUGUGGAAGUCUCUGUUGAUUUAGAUGUUUCUGCCUCACUAGUGGUGGAUGUUUCAGCAGGAGUCAAGGUUGUGGAAGUCUCUGUUGUUGUAAAUGUUUCAGCAGGAGUUGUGAUUGUGUAAGUCUCUGUUGAUGUAGAUGUUUCUGAUAAAAUAGUGGUGGAUGCUUCAGCAGGAGUCAUGAUUGUUGAAGUCUCUGUUGUUGUACUAGUUUCUGCUAAACUAGUGGUAUAUGUUUCAUCAGGAGUUGUGAUUGUGGAAGUCUCUAUUGUUGUCAAUGUUUCUACUAAAAUAGUGGUGGAUGUUUCAGCAGGAGUCAUGAUUGUGGAAGCCUCUGUUGUUGUAGAUGUUUCCGGUGUACUAGUGAUGGAUGUUUCAGCAGGAAUCGUUAUUGUGGAAAUCUCUGAUGUUGUAGAUGUUUCUAUUGCACUAGCGGUGGAUGUUUUAUCUGGAGUCAUGAUUGUUGAAGUCUCUGUUGUUGUAGAUGUUUCUGCUAAACUAGUGGUGGAUGUUUCAUCAGGAGUCAUUAUUGUGGAAGUCUCUGUUGUUGUAGAUGUUUCUGCUAAACUAGUGGUGGAUGUUUCAUCAGGAGUCAUCAUUGUGGAAGUCUCUGUUGUUGUAGAUGUUUCUGGUGCACUAGUGGUGGAUGUUUCAUCAGGUGUCGUGAUUGUGGAAGUCUCUGUUGUUGUAGAUGUUUCUGGUGCACUAGUGCUGGAUGUGUCAUCAGGUGUCGUGAUUGUGGAAGUCUCUGUUGUUGUAGAUGUUUCUGGUGCACUAGUGCUGGAUGUUUCAUCAGGUGUCGUGAUUGUGGAAGUCUCUGUUGUUGUAGAUGUUUCUGGUGCACUAGUGGUGGAUGUUUCAUCA
ensembl:lncRNA